rnacentral:snRNA from 1 species
GUGCUUGCUUUGGUAACACAUAUACUAAAAACAUGGGACGAUACAGAGAAGAUGAGCAUGGCACCUGAUGUGCAAAUUAGUGAAGCUUUCUAUUUUUAA